GUCGUAACAAAGUGCUCCUGUCUGAGCCGCUUAAACAACAGAAAUGAUUUUCCACAGUUCUGGAGGCUGGAAGCCUGAGAUGAAGGAUCUUGACAGUUUCGUUCUGUGGAAGGACAGUUUCAUCCUUCAGUCUGUGUGGUUCAUUCUUCUGUGUCCAGUCUCAAGCUGUGUAUUCCUGGAGGGAUACCACAGAAAUUACGGCAGUGAAUCAAAACUCACUUCGGUGUGCUUAUCAUUUUACACCAGGCGCAGUGGCUCAAGCCUGUAAUCCUAGCACUUUGGGAGGCUGAGGCAGGUGGAUCACGAGGUCAAGAGAUCGGGACCAUCCUGGUCAACAUGGUGAAACCCCGUCUCUACCAAAAACACAAAAAAUUAGCUGGGCAUGGUGGCGUGUGCCUGUAAUCCCAACUACUCGGGAGGCUGAGGGAGAAGAAUUGCCUGAACCCAGGAAGCGGAGGUUGCGGUGAGCCGAGAUCGCGCCAUUGCACUCCAGCCUGGGUAAACAAGAGCGAAACUCAGUCUCAAAAAAAAAAAAAAAAAAAGACAGUUUUGCAAGUUAAAUAUUAUUAUGCACAUUUUAUAGAUAAGUUAAACUCUAUUUGUUAUUUAUUCCUGUGUUACAAAUUACCACUAAACUUAGUGACUUAAAACAACAAAUAUUUAUUAUCAUCUUAGAGACAAGACAAGAGAUAAUGCAAUGCUGGCCUAGUCUGAAAGUGGCAAACUCAAGAUAUAUUUUGCUGGUAGUAUAAGCAGGACUUUUUGAGAGAGAUUAGAAAUGAAAUGGCUAGGAAAGAGACAGAGAAAAAACAUAAUUCCUAAGUCUGCCUUUAACAGCUAGGUGUUAUUUACUAAAAUGGAGAAGAAUGAAAUAAAAAUAGGUUGGGGAGAAGAGAGUUUUAUUUUAGACAUAUUAAGUUUGAAGCAUCUGUGAGAUAUAAAAUAGAGGCACUAAAGAUGAAAUAGGCAUUACAGCUGUGGUGUUCAGAGGAGAGACCUCUUCUAAACAUCACUCUACAUGAAAUAGUACAGUAAUUAGUGGCUAAGGCUUGGGUCCUCAAUCUCAAGGCAAUUUGAUAGUGAGCUAGCUAGUCUAGAUACAGGCAGGCUAGCAAGAGAUGGAAGAAAGGGCAGACUGGAAAGUUUCCUCCCAAUGUCUAGUUCAGAGCUAGCUCAGUUUCUUUUCUUAGACUUUAUAAGUACCAUCAGCACCAUCGGCAUUAUUGUUUGUGGAGGAUGGUGCAGGAGGAAUGCAUCUCUCAGGUAGUGGCAAAUUAACAUAAUGCAUCCAGAGAGAAGAGCAUCUGGAUUCCAAGAGCUGUCCAUCUGAGGGCGUCAGAGAGCAUCAGGACGAGGUUUACCCUACAACACAGUGAUGGAAGGUACUCCCAAGAA
rnacentral:lncRNA from 1 species